rnacentral:rRNA from 1 species
AAAUUGAAGAGUUUGAUCAUGGCUCAGAUUGAACGCUGGCGGCAGGCCUAACACAUGCAAGUCGAGCGGAAACGAGUUAUCUGAACCUUCGGGGGACGAUAACGGCGUCGAGCGGCGGACGGGUGAGUAAUGCCUAGGAAAUUGCCCUGAUGUGGGGGAUAACCAUUGGAAACGAUGGCUAAUACCGCAUGAUGCCUACGGGCCAAAGAGGGGGACCUUCGGGCCUCUCGCGUCAGGAUAUGCCUAGGUGGGAUUAGCUAGUUGGUGAGGUAAGGGCUCACCAAGGCGACGAUCCCUAGCUGGUCUGAGAGGAUGAUCAGCCACACUGGAACUGAGACACGGUCCAGACUCCUACGGGAGGCAGCAGUGGGGAAUAUUGCACAAUGGGCGCAAGCCUGAUGCAGCCAUGCCGCGUGUGUGAAGAAGGCCUUCGGGUUGUAAAGCACUUUCAGUCGUGAGGAAGGUGGUGUCGUUAAUAGCGGCAUUAUUUGACGUUAGCGACAGAAGAAGCACCGGCUAACUCCGUGCCAGCAGCCGCGGUAAUACGGAGGGUGCGAGCGUUAAUCGGAAUUACUGGGCGUAAAGCGCAUGCAGGUGGUUUGUUAAGUCAGAUGUGAAAGCCCGGGGCUCAACCUCGGAAU